UACGUAGGUGGCGAGCGUUAUCCGGAAUGAUUGGGCGUAAAGGGUGCGUAGGCGGCCUGCUAAGUCUGAAGUGAAAGGUACCGGCUCAACCGGUACAGGCUCUGGAAACUGGCGGGCUAGAGAGCAGGAGAGGGCGGUGGAACUCCAUGUGUAGCGGUAAAAUGCGUAGAUAUAUGGAAGAACACCAGUGGCGAAGGCGGCCGCCUGGCCUGUUGACUGACGCUGAGGCACGAAAGCGUGGGGAGCAAAUAGG
rnacentral:rRNA from 1 species